GGGCCCGCACAAGCGGCGGAGCAUGUGGAUUAAUUCGAUGCAACGCGAAGAACCUUACCUGGGUUUGACAUGCACCGGACGCGUCCAGAGAUGGGCGUUCCCUUGUGGUCGGUGUGCAGGUGGUGCA
rnacentral:rRNA from 1 species